CAGGCCACGGAAUGGCUGGUCUUGGGAGCAGGCGGUUGAGAUGCCAGGGUUUAGAGGCAAAGGGCUGGGGACUACGAGCCAGGACCUUCCCGCGUCUGCUCUGCGCCCCCGCAGUUUCCUCCGCGCCCACCAGAAGGCGCCGGGGCGCUCGCAUUCCCAGCGCGGAGCCCGAGCAGCUGCAAUCAGCCGGGAGCUGAGCCGCGCUGCCCUGCGGCGUGAGGAGCCGGGCAGCUGCCGGAGCCCUCCCUGCGCUGCUUUUGGGACGCGGCGCCAGGGAUCCCCAGCUUUGCCCCCGGGGCUGGGGUGCAAGUGACUCUGAACUUGGUCCUCGCGCCUCUCCAACCGCCCCCAGGCAGGAAACGCCCAGAACCGCCACCGCGCAGCGCUUCACAAAAGCCGGGAGAGUUCCAAGGCGGGAGGGGUCGGGCGCGCUCCAGAGGCAGGAGGGUCCCCCACACCCUUCAGGCUCACGCCCAGCUCCCCCAUCGGGUAGCCCCCAGCCCCAUGAGGACCCUCAGGCCGGGGCCGAGAGCCCGGCACAGCCCGGACCGAAAUUUUGCCGCUGCCUUAGAACGUUAGACAGGAUGUGGCUGGGCCGCCGGGCCCUGUUCGCGCUGGUCCUGCUGCUCGCCUGCGCCUCGCUGGGGCUCCUGUACGCGAGCACCCGGGACAUGUCCGGCCUCCGGGCACCUUUUGCGCCGUGGGCGCCCCCGCAGAGCCCCCGCAGGCCUGAGCUGCCAGAUCUUGCUCCUGAGCCCCGCUACGCACACAUCCCGGUCAGGAUCAAGGAGCAAGUAGUCGGGCUGCUGGUUCAGAACAACUGCAGUUGUGAGUCCAGCGGGAGGGGCCUUCCCCUCCCAUUCCAGAAACAAGUCCAAGCCAUUGACCUCACCAAGGCCUUUGACCCUGCAGAGCUGAGGACUGCCUCCUCCACAAGAGAGCAGGAGUUCCAGGCCUUUCUGUCAAGGAGCCAGUCGCCAGCUGACCAACUUCUCAUAGCCCCUGCCAACUCCCCACUCCAGUACCCCCUGCAGGGUGUGGAAGUCCAGCCCCUCAGGAGCAUCUUGGUGCCAGGGCUGAGCCUUCAGGCAGCUUCUGGUCAGGAGGUAUACCAGGUGAACCUGACUGCCUCCCUGGGCACCUGGGAUGUGGCAGGGGAAGUGACUGGAGUGACUCUCACUGGAGAGGGGCAGACAGAUCUCACCCUUGUCAGCUCAGGGCUGGACCAACUCAACAGGCAACUACAACUGGUCACUUACAGCAGCCGAAGCUACCAGACCAACACAGCAGACACAGUCCGGUUCUCCACCGAGGGACAUGAGGCUGCCUUCACCAUCCGAAUAAGACACCCCCCCAACCCUCGGCUGUACCCACCUGGGUCUCUACCCAAGGGAGCGCAGUACAACAUCAGCGCUCUAGUCACGAUUGCCACCAAGACCUUCCUCCGUUAUGAUCGGCUACGGGCUCUCCUUGCCAGUAUCCGUCGCUUCUACCCAACAGUCACCGUGGUCAUCGCUGACGACAGCGACAAGCCAGAGCGCAUUAGCGGCCCCUACGUGGAGCACUAUCUCAUGCCCUUCGGCAAGGGCUGGUUCGCGGGCCGGAACCUGGCCGUGUCCCAGGUAACCACCAAAUACGUGCUGUGGGUGGAUGACGACUUCGUUUUCACAGCACGGACGCGGCUGGAGAGGCUUGUGGACGUGCUGGAGCGGACGCCGCUGGACCUGCCUCCCUUUCCCUGCAGGUCGGGGGCGCGGUGCGCGAGAUCUCCGGCUUCGCCACCACCUACCGGCAGCUGCUCAGCGUGGAUCCCGGCGCCCCAGGCCUCGGGAAUUGCCUCCGGCAAAGGCGCGGCUUCCACCACGAGCUCAUCGGCUUCCCAGGCUGCGUAGUCACCGACGGUGUGGUUAACUUCUUCUUGGCGCGGACUGACAAGGUGCGCGAGGUCGGCUUUGAUCCCCGCCUCAGCCGCGUGGCUCACCUGGAAUUCUUCCUGGAUGGGCUUGGUUCCCUUCGGGUUGGCUCCUGCUCCGACGUCGUGGUAGAUCAUGCAUCCAAAUUGAAGCUGCCUUGGACAUCAAGGGAUGCCGGGGCAGAGACUUACGCCCGGUACCGUUACCCAGGAUCACUGGACGAGAGCCAAAUGGCCAAACACCGGCUGCUCUUCUUCAAACACCGGCUGCAGUGCAUGACCUCACAGUGAAGGCCCGCAGGGGAUUUCUGACUGUCAGGCUGGGCCUGCCUCCUUGUCCCUGCCAGGAAUUUCCAGCAAACCCCACCACCCUGUGUGCACUCUACUGACUGUCCCUGAGCCCCUAGUUCCUCACUCUUCCCUUUCCAAACUUGAUGCCCAAUCGGGGUUGUCCUGGUAACACCCCUCCUUUUUCGAGUGCCCAGAGGCCUGGUGGAGCCAUAACCUCUCCCACAGCCAGUGCCAAGUCCUCCCCUCUCCCCAUUCUCAUGGGGCAGGAAAUGGGGGGAUCACUUUCCAAGUGCCAAAGAGCCCAGGGGGACUCUAAGAACCUAAGGUGGAAACACUGUCUGUCCUCUCAUCUUCUUGGGACUGAAGGGGUGGGGAGGUUCUCCAACACAUAAUCUCAAGACAGUGCCCUUCACCUGCAUCUUUAAACCCAGUACUCUGUACACGUGCUCCAGCCCCACCCCCACAGACAGAGCUUGUGGCUCUGGGGCUGGGGCGAGGGCUGGUGAACACAUGGUGAAAGCCAUUCUUAGUGUGUCUUUGCAAUGCUGUGGGCACAAAAGAAGGGGCACCAGAGUCCUUGUGCAAACAGCUAGACUCACUUCAUGGAUUCCAAAGCACUCAGCUUCAUUUUAUUAGUUACAUUAGGUAAGGGGGCUCAGGGCUCAUGAUCCUCAUCACACACAUGUCGCUGGGGCCCUCUGCACUCCAAGUGAUGAGGUCAGACCCACACUGUACAAAUCUUAUGGUCAGUGGGCUCCUGGAGAAGAGAGGAGACAUGUCAGGAAUAGAUUAAGCACCCCUCUCCCUUGAAAUGUGGCAGUCCUCUCAGGGGUACCCCACUAACUUAGGGAUCUGAGUUCUUCAGUUCUUCACCCAUAGCUCAACCCAGGCUCCCUGAGUUGGUCUUCAAUCCACUAUUCAUUCUGGCCCCAUCCUUUUCUUCUUGAUCUUUCUCCACAGACCCUUUCCCAAACCCCUCUCCCUGGGUCUCCAGCCACUUACCCCUGCCUCAUUGGCUGCAGCCUGGCACCUCCCGGCUCCUGCUCCUGGUGCUACUGUCCCCUUAGCAGGCUCCCUAGGGCAUGAGCAGCUGCAUCCUGCACACUCACAAACAGCUGAUCUGGAGUCACCCUGUCCAGGAGUCCUGCCUGGGUCAGCGUCCCCAGCACCGAGGCUAUGGGAGAGGGUGUCAGGCUCUGAGACCCUAAAUCCACACCAGGUCCUUUUCCCUCCUGCAGGCAUCCAGUCAUUGCCCAGGCACUGGGCCCUACCCUUCUCCACACAUCUCACCAUUACACUGAGCCAAGAGGAGGCGGAUCCUAGCAUCUCGACAUCGGCUGGCCAGCUGCAGGGAGGGGCAAAGGGGUGAAGUCCCAGAUCAGAGGGUAUGAGUGAGAUGAUAAGGGGUGUCUCUUCAACCUACCCUCUCCCUCACCUGCACCACUUCUCUGGCCCCAGCAGCAUCUGCAAAGGUGACACCACUGAAGUCUAGGACCACCACUCUGACAGGCUCAGCAGCUAGAAUGGGAGAAGACAGGAGUACCCAGGUGCCACCAAGCAGCAUGCCCAAAUCCUUCUCGUCAUCCCAUCUCACCUGCAACAGUUGGGCCAUCUGGCUUUGAAGUCUCCUAUGAGUAAAGAAGGGCAGUCACCACUCCCAGACACAGCAUGAACGUGCACCCCUUGAGCACAAGGGUCCCCUCAGAACGCCCACUUGCCUCCCGCUCCCUGAGGAUCCACUUCCCUCCUAAAUCAAGCUCCCUCACCGUUCCUCCUUCUCCAAGCCCCAGGUGCCACUCCAGGCUGCGGCGAAACUGCCCACGGGUCCCAAAGUAGAGUGGUGUUGGAUAGCUCAGGAUGCAGAGCCCUGGGACCUGAAGGAGCUAAGAGGUCGGAGGGUCAGAGAAACGUGCGGCCAGUCUUCCCUUCCUUCCGUGGCUGCAGCUCACCCACCUUGUGGCUUCCUUUGAGUGGCCUGUAGAGCUCUGUCCCCUCAGCCUGUCCAAGUGCCAGGCACUGCACCCUAGGGAAGAGGAUGGGGUCAGAUUUCCAGUUAAGCCUGGCCUGGCUGGGGAGUCAUCCCAAGCACCUCAUUCUAUCCCCUGCCCCGACCUCAGCUCUACCCAUCUCUGUGCCCACCUCUGGGUGCGGCAGACCACAGUCAUCAUGGAGAAGACCACACCCACAGCCAGGCCCAGGUCCACACUCAGGGUCACUACAGCCACCCAUGUGACCAUCCACACAGCCUGCAAUACAGGGAGGGGGUGGAUUGCCCAAAAGAAAAGCCAGGCCAUCACUGCUGGGGAAAGAGAUCCAGGGCAGUGACUACCAAGGCAAGUGCUGGGGAGAGAUGACCCAGGAAGGAAAAGACAUGACAGAGGGAAAUAACAGAGGUAAUUGAAUGGGACACACACCAAAUGUAAUGAGCUGCACUAAUUGGGAAGUUACAAAUAUUCAGGCCCAAGGGCUUCAAACCCCACCCUUUCCCUUGCCUGUGAGUAAAGGGUAUUAGGAGUUAUAUGUGUUGAGGGAGUAGGUAGUUUGCAGAAUUUAGGACCAGACAAUUUGCUUUGGUUUAGGGCAGAGGCUGGGGAUGCUAAGAAGAUGGGAGGGGGCAACUGGGGAUAAUGCCAUUUCUCACAAAGUCCAUGCGGCUGAUGCGCCAUAGUUGUGGAAGUUCCUGCAUCUGGAAGAACAGCUGGCGCAUGCUGGAGAUGUUGAUGCAAGCCAGGACAGCCUUGAGGUAGAGGAGGUGGGCUGACUACCUCAGUGUCCUGGAAUACAGCCACCCCUCCCAGCCAUGCUACGCCUCCUCUGCUCCUUACCUUGGGCAGAUAGUAAAAGAAGGGCCCCAGCCACAGCAGUACUGACAGAACCACUAUGCAGGAGAAGAGGCCUGCCAGCUAGAGGGAAGGAGGGGUGGAAGCAAAAAAGGAAGGGAGCCUCCCCCCGCCAGCGUGAGAGCUGGUCUCCCUGCCCACUCUGCCUUGUCUUCCUCAGAAGUCUCCCUUCUCCCAAAUCUCCUUCCACACAACCCCCUUCUUAAUAUUCUGCCAUUCACAUCUAACCGUCCCCUUCCCCCGAUUAAUUAAAUGCAUAUCAUUCGCCAGUCUCCCCAUAGAUGUCUGUUGUUCAAGUUCCCAAGUUUUGCAGCCCACCUCCACCUUAAAAGCCACUGUGGGAUUAUCCUAUAAGCAGGCUAACCACGUGCUUGGGGUACCAGCAAAGUAAGGGAAACCAAAAAUAUUAGGGGGAGACUUUUAUAUGUGAUAUUUCUUUUAAAAGACAAUGUCAUUGUGUGAAAAAAAUAAGAAUUUUAUCUCAAGUUUA